CAUGCACCCUCUUAAAUCUAGAAUUUUGUCAGUUUGUUUUGCUGUUUACAAGGCGUUGUAUAAAAGCUUCGGAGGAUUUGCUGCAUAUGUUGUUGCUACCAUUGACCAGGUAGAAAUUUGAUGUGUCUUCACAUAAUCUGAACAUAUUUCCUUGCAUUUGCAUAUUCAAUUAAAUAUUAAUUCUCAAUUGUUUGCUUGUUAUUUAGUUUUGGAGUCAUUGCAUUGGGAAUAUUAUUAUCUAGAAGAUCCUAACCAUACGUAUUCGAAGGCCAUGACAUCGGAAGAACAUCUUGCUGGAUUUGGUAUGAGUUAUGCUGACUUCAUUUGCAAGGAGAAUGAAAAUGACUGCAAUGAGCAACCUUUGGAAUCUGCAGUGGUUGAGAGGAUGAUUUAUUCGAAUGGUGUGGCACAGAAUCUGUAUGUACUUUGUUCUGGUAGGUGGAGCACCAACCAAGGUAAGUAAGUCUAAUGGAAUUUUGAAUCUUCAUUUUCAUUGCCUGAAAUUUACCUAAACGCUGUUUCUUUGACUUGGCUAACUAGUUAAAAUCAGGCCGAGUCAGCAUAGUUUCAAGUGGACUAACCAGGAAAACAAGACUGAGUUACUUGCAAACCAAGGCCUACCUAGUUCCAGUCUGAUUUCUGUCUUCUCUUUGUAGUUGAAUAUACUAGCAAACAUGUUUUAAUCUGAGAAUUAGCUGCUCUAAUUUCUCAAGCACUAGUUGUUUCUGUCUUCUCUUUCAGUUGAAUAGACUAGUGGACCGCUGAAAAUUACUUCCACAGUCCAUUUUCUAGUUGUUUCUGAUUUAUGGUUGGGUUUGGCUCCCUAUUUAGCUCCAAGGUCUUUUAUGGUUGCUUUUCAGCUUUUCUGAAUUAGAUAUUUUGUAUGAUUAUAGGUCCUAUUGCUGAUGACAUGUCCCACUGGCAAGCAACAAUUAUGGGACCAGCAGAUAGCCCCUUUGCAGGUGGUGUAUUUUUGGGAUCCAAUAUUAGACAUAUGGGACCAAAAGGCUAUGAUGAUUAUGAUGAUGGUGACAAUGAGUGAAGUUACAUUUGUAUUUUCUUGUAAAUGGGGUUUGCAUGAUUGCAUCCUCUUCUUUGAAACAUGAAAAAUGUAAGCCAUUAGGGUGGAUUGCAACUUCUCUUGGCCUAUUUGGGUGAGGUUCUUCAAAACCUUCAGGGUGGCUUGGGUAAUGCUCGGAAAGAUUGAUGCAUUCUUCGAGCUAUGGUUCGACCAAGUGUGGUCUAAGGCAACUCCAAGCAUUUCUUUUGAAGGAGUGCAAGCGAUCCAAGGUUGAAG